UGUGCUGUAGCUCAAUGGUAGAGUGCUUCCCUCACACAUAUGAGGCACUAAGUUUGAUCCUUAGUACCACAU
rnacentral:tRNA from 1 species